rnacentral:lncRNA from 1 species
AGAUGAUCAUGGACCACAACCUAAUAUGAUUAGGCCCGAGCCAGUAGGCCUAAUCACUCACAUCAAGAUCUAUGUGUGCAACGGUGCAUCUCCAUGCCCUGUGAUCGUCCAUCCCGUCCUCGUCGGUUUCGUCGACAUCUUGAUGCAUCUCCAUGCAUCACGAUCGUCCGUCUCGUGGGUCCCGCUAUCGCAUCCACGCUCCCGCUGCACCUCCUCAUAUGAUUACAACUUAAUCAUAGGCACGCAGGCCCGACAAUAAACGAGAAAUAUAAUGAAGGUUCGCAGACCUCAAUAAUAAUAAUCACAAGUACACACAUCACACGGUCCAUGAUCAUCCGUCCACACAUCAUACAUCACAUGUAUAAAUAAUCAUCAUCAUGUAGGACUACUAGAUAAUAAUAAAAAUAAUAAUCAACUAAACAUUUUAAUUAAUUAAUAUUUUUCUGAAAUCAGGGACAUGUAGGGAAUUUCUCAAUUCCUAAGGGUAUUUUCGUAAUUUGGACAAAAGACAGAAACUGGAAUUUCUCAAAUUCCGAGGGGCAAAACUGUCUUUUGCCCAGAAAACCCUAAUACCCUUUCCCCUUUUCGCUGCUGCCGCCGCCGCCACCCUG